rnacentral:rRNA from 1 species
UUCUAUUAGAUCUAAUUAAUAGUAAUAUCUGCUCAAUGUAAAAAUAAAUAGCCGCAAAUUUGUGCUAAGGUAGCAUAAUAAUUUGUCUUUUAAAUGAAGACCAGAACAAAAGAUAAAACAUUUCAAUUAAUCUCCCAAAUUCAAAUUUUCAAAAUUAUCCUAAAUGUAAAAAGACAUUUAUAUAAAAGAAAGACGACAAGACCCUAUUGAACUUCACUAUAGUUUAACUGGGGCAGUUAAUUAAUUAAUAUUUUAAUUAAAAUUCUAAAAUCAAAUAGACCCAAUAACAUUGAUUAAAUAAUCAAGUUACCAUAGGGAUAACAGCGUAAUAAAUUUCUAAAGACCUUAUACAAAUAAAAGAUUGCGACCUCGAUGUUGAAUAAUCACCUAACUAACGCAAAAGUUACUAAAGGAAGUCUGUUCGACUUUUAAAAAAUUACA